AUCACACUUCAAUAAUAACACAUAGUAAUAUUUCUUUCUUAACACAUAAUAUUGUUGCCAUGGCUCGCAAUUAUGCUUUCUAUUUCACUUUUGCACUCUUGGUGAUAUCUGUUUACUUGGCUCAUUCACCAAAAGUGAAAAUCCUUGCUGUGAGAGACUUGGCAGAACUCAAAUCAAAACUAACUGGCCAAAGCUUGCAAGGUGGUUGUGGUGGAUAUUGUCGAGUGAAUAGUGACUGCUAUGAUAGAUACUGCAAAUAUUGUUACUACAAUGUUAUUAGUCAUACCUAUGGUUGUGGCUAAAAAAUAAUUGAUGUAUGACCAAUAUUACAUACAAUAUGGUCAAUUAUUUGUGUUUUUCUUUUUUCUGUUUGAACUUCCUUCGUUGAAAAAUUAAAUAAAAGAACUGAUUGAGUUUUAGUUCUAGUAUAGCUAAAUCAGGAUUAUCAUAAUAUCGAAUGUAACGUCAAGAUGGGUUGUGUUGCCCUACAAAUGUUGUUGUAGUAUUUGAACUUUCAAAUUUUAAUAAAACCUAAUCAUUUUGAUUAUCAA